GAUCGCGAAGAACUCGUGCACCGUGGAAUCGACCUCGAUUGAGCUGCAUCCCGGCGAAGGCUUCCUGAUCCCUAUCUCCUUCAUCCGCGCUCUGAUCCUCGAGGCGUCCUCCGUCCUGCCGGCAGAUGCGUAGAUGCUCGACAUGGUGAGGUAGUCUCCGCUGCGGAGCGGCUCAAAUCUCGAGAUCUGGUUCAGCGACUCUUCCCCGAUCUCGACUUCCCCAUAGAUCUUGCAGGAAGCCAGGAGGAUCCUCCACACGAUGGCGUUCGGCUCGACGGGCAUGGUUUCGAUGAACCGGCGCGCCUCCUCGAUCUGGCCGGCGCGGGCGAGAAGAUCGAUCACGCAGCCGCAGUGAUCGAUCCUCGGUUCGAUGUCAU
rnacentral:lncRNA from 1 species